UACGUAGGCAGCAAGCGUUGUUCGGAGUUACUGGGCGUAAAGGGUGUGUAGGCGGUUUUUUAAGUUUGGUGUGAAAUCUCCCGGCUCAACUGGGAGGGUGCGCCGAAUACUGAAAGACUAGAGUGCGGGAGAGGAAAGUGGAAUUCCUGGUGUAGCGGUGAAAUGCGUAGAUAUCAGGAGGAACACCGGUGGUGUAGACGGCUUUCUGGACCGUAACUGACGCUGGAGGAGCGAAAAGCAUGGGGGAGCGAACAGG
rnacentral:rRNA from 1 species